rnacentral:rRNA from 1 species
GGGAUAACCUUGCGAAAGUAAGACUAAUACCCAAUGAUAUCCCACGAAGGCAUCCGAAUGGGAUUAAAGAUUUAUCGGUGAUGGAUGGGGAUGCGUCUGAUUAGCUUGUUGGCGGGGUAACGGCCCACCAAGGCGACGAUCAGUAGGGGUUCUGAGAGGAAGGUCCCCCACAUUGGAACUGAGACACGGUCCAAACUCCUACGGGAGGCAGCAGUGAGGAAUAUUGGUCAAUGGGCGAGAGCCUGAACCAGCCAAGUAGCGUGCAGGAAGACGGCCCUAUGGGUUGUAAACUGCUUUUAUAAGGGAAUAAAGUGAGUCUCGUGAGACUUUUUGCAUGUACCUUAUGAAUAAGGACCGGCUAAUUCCGUGCCAGCAGCCGCGGUAAUACGGAAGGUCCGGGCGUUAUCCGGAUUUAUUGGGUUUAAAGGGAGCGUAGGCCGGAGAUUAAGCGUGUUGUGAAAUGUAGAGGCUCAACCUCUGCACUGCAGCGCGAACUGGUCUUCUUGAGUACGCACAACGUGGGCGGAAUUCGUGGUGUAGCGGUGAAAUGCUUAGAUAUCACGAAGAACUCCGAUUGCGAAGGCAGCUCACGGGAGCGCAACUGACGCUGAAGCUCGAAAGUGCGGGUAUCGAACAGGAUUAGAUACCCUGGUAGUCCGCACGGUAA